GUAGCUGGGACUACAGGCGUGUACCACCACGCCUGGCUGAUUUUUUGUAUUUUUUGUAGAGACAGAGUUUUGCCAUGUUGGCAAGGCUGGUCUUGAACUUCUGACCUCAAGUGAUCUGCCGGCCUCGGCCUACCAAAGUGCUGGGAUUACAGGCCUGAGCCACUGCACCCAGCCCAGAAGCUGAUCUUAACAGAAGAAUUUCUCCUGUCGAUGUAAAGUUAACUUGCAAACUUACAUGAAAAUGCAGCUUCUCAGAAUCUGCCCAAACUAGAUUAGAAUGAUAAGCUUGGCCCUUAGCCAGUCCUGAGUCAGGUGGAUUUCCGUUUUCACCCUUGAACCAAAAGUUGGGGUUAUGAGACCAGCCAGAAUAUGCUGAAUGGGGUCUCCCCCCAUCACCACUGCCACCUACCACAUUCAUCCCUUAAUUUGCCACUAGAUGCUCUGAGGAAAGGGUCAAAAUAGGGGCCACUCCAAACCAUAAGUGAGAAGUGGAAGAAAAAUAUACAGGUGAAGGCAUGAGUUUACCAGCAAUGUCAUUUCAGUGGUUGGGCCAGGAGGUGGGGAUUGGGGCAACGGAAAGACAAACUGAUAAUUUAUUCAAGGAAAAGUCAGCCGUCUAACCCAGGGGCUCAAUGAAAUCAUCACAUUUCAAUUUUAGCUGUUUGUGGCACAUAUAAAGUGAUCUUGCAGGUAAAAAGUUCAGCUUGCCAUGCAUUAAUUACCUCCAGGUCCAUCUGGUAUUUCUAGUUUUGUAUGUUUGUAGAAUAAAAGUGAAAAGGAAAAAAAAAGUGUCCUUGUUUUUGCUCAAUAUUUCUGUUGAACAGAAAUAUUGUGUGUGACAAACACAGAGUUUGCUUACAAGUUGGAGCUGCCUUUUGAUUAAUGGUUUAUUUAAAUUGUUAGUAUAGGAGAUAAUGGGUAAAGGAAGAUUCUUAAAAAUGGAAGCCCUGGGUUCUAGCUGUGAUACUCCCUCUGCUUAUACCAGUUAUGUUCUUAUUCGAGUUUCUGUAUCUUGCCCUGAUCUGAUUUUUUUUUUUUUUUUACCUGUUUGACGUAGAAAUUGUGGGAAGAAGUGAAAGAGGUGAAUGAGAGAAAAAAACAUGUGUGACGUGCUUUAAGUUUACUGGAAAGUUCAUCAUACAUAUUAUUGUGAACUUUUUUACAGUUUAUGCCAGUGAUAGUUUGCCUUGCAAAUAAUACCUCCUCAGAAACAGAAGAUACAUCAAAGCACGAGGGAGAUGUGAGAGGUAGGCUGUCCAACAGAACUCUCUGCAGUGAUAAAAAUGUUCUAUAUUUGUGGUAUCCACUAUUCACAUCAGAACUGAGGGAUGCAUUUUUUUAAAAUCUGAUUUUAAUUAAUUUAAAAUUUAAACCACGUAUGUGGCUGGGCCACCAUACCAUAUUGAACAGCACAACUCCUGAAUUUUAAAAGAUAUCAACAGAGUAUUAGACAAAUUAAUAUACCUCUGGUAACACAGGGAGAACUAAUCUUUCUGGUUUUUUUUUUUUUUUUUUUGAGAUGGAGUCUUGCUGUGUCACCCAGACUGGAGUGCAGUGGCGCAAUCUCAGUUCACUACAACCUCGGCCUCCUGGGUUCAAGCAAUUCUCCUUCCUCAGUCUCCGAGUAGCUGGGAUUACAGGCACCUGCCACCAUGCCUGACUCAUUUUUUGUAUUUUUAGUGGAGAUGGAGUUUCACCACGUUGGCCAGGCUGGUCUGGAACUGCUGACCUCAAGUGAUCUGCUCGCCUCGGCCUGCCAAAGUGCUGGGAUUAUAGGAGUGAGCCACUAUGCCCAGACUGUUAAUAAGAUACUAAAAUGGGGAAAUCCAUUACAGGCCUCCCGAUUCCCUAAGAAACAACAAUACUGAAAUAAGGCCAAUUAAUAACUCUACAACAGCUUCUAAGUGUUCAAGUGAAAGGAAGAGUUGCAUGUCUCUUACUUUAAAUCAAGAGCUAGAAGUGGGCUGGGCAUGGUGGCUCACGCCUGUAAUCUCAGCACUUUGGGAGGCCGAGGUGGGCAGAUCUCUUGAGGUCAGGAGUUCAAGACCAGCCUGACCAACAUGGUGAAACCCCGUCUCUACUAAGAAUACAAACAUUAGCCUGGCAUGGUGGUGCAUGCUUGUAAUCCCAGCUACUCAGGAGGCUGAGGCAGGAGAACAGCUUGAACCAAGGAGGCAGAGGUUGCAGUGAGCCGAAAUCGCACCGCUGCACUCCAGCUUGAGCCACAGUAGACUCCAUCUUAAAAAAACAAACAAACAAAAAACAAACAAACCUAUAAAUCAUUAAGCUUAGUGAGGAAGGCAUGUCUAAAGCCAAGUUAGGUUGAAAGUUAGGCUUCUUGCAGCCAAAUUGUGAAUGCAAAGAAAAAGUUAUUGGAGGAAAUUAAAAGUGCUACUCCAGUGAACACACAAAUGAUACAAAAGCAAAACAACUUUAUUUCUGAUAUGGAGAAAGUUUGAGUAAUCUGGAUAGAUGCUCAAACCAGCCACACUAUUCCUGAAGUCAAAGCCUAAUCCAGAGCAAGGCCCUAACUCUCUUCAAUUCUAUGAAGGCUAAGAGAGAAGAGGAAGCUGCAGAGGAAAAGUUUGACACUAACAGAUGUUGGUUCAUGAGAUUGAAGGAAAGAAGCCAUUUCUGUAUCAUAAGAGUGCAAGAUGAAGCAGCAAGUGCUGAUGUAGAAGCUGUAGCAAGUUAUCCAAAAGAUCUAGCAAAGAUUAUCAAUGAAGGUGGUUACACUCAACAACAGAUUUUCAGUAUAGACAAAACAACAUUGUAUUGGAAGAAGAUUCCAUCUAGGACUUUCAUAGCUAGAGAGGAGAAGUCAAUAUCUGGCUUCAAAGCUUAAAAGGACAAGCUGACUUGCUAGGGGCUAAUGCAGCUGGUGACUUGAAGUUGAAGUCAAUGCUUAUUUACCAUUCUGAAAAUCGUAGGGCCCUUAAGAAUUAUGCUAAAUCUCCUCAUCCUAUGCUUUAUAAAUGGAAUAACAAAGCCUGGAUGACAGAACACCUGUUUACAGCAUAGUUUACUGAAUAUUUUAAGCCCACCAUUGAGACCUGCUGCUCAGAACAAAAGAUUCCUUUAGAAAUAUUAGUGCUCAAUGACAAUGUGCUUAUUCACCCGAGAUCUCUCAUGGAGAUGUACAAGGAGAUUAAUGUUUUCAUGCCUGCUUACACAACUUUCAUUCUGCAGCCUAUGGAUCAAGAGUAAUUUCGACUUUCAAGUCCCAUUAUUUAAGAGAUAGAUCUCAGCAGGAUGCAGUGCCUCAUGCCUGUAAUCCCAGCACUUUGGCAGGACGAGGCAGGUGGAUCACUUGUGCCCAUGAAUUCCAGACCAGCCUUGAGCAACAUGGUGAAACCUUGUCUCUACAAUUAAAAAAAAAAAUUAGUUAGGCAUGGUGGCAAGUGCCUGCAGUCCCAGCUACUCGGGAGGCUGAGGUGGGAGGAUCACUUGAGCCCAGGAGUUUGAGGCUGCAGAGAGCUGUGAUUGCCACUGCACUCCAGCCUGCAUGACAGAGCAAGGCCCUGACUAAAAAAAAAAAAAAACAAACGAAAGAAAGAAAUGAUCUCAUAAGGGGCUGAAGCUUGCAUCAAUAGUGAUUCCUCUGAUAGAUCUGGACAAAAUAACUUCUAUACGCACUGGGAAGCCAAAAAAUUGAUGUGGCUCACUUUAUUGCAAUAUCAACUUUAUUGUGGUGGUCUGGAACCAAACCCACAAAAUCUCCAAGAAUGCCUGUAUUUUUUUGCUUGCUUAAAGUUUGUCUCUCCCUGAUCGAGACCAUCCCGGCUAAAACGGUGAAACCCC
rnacentral:lncRNA from 10 species